CGCAUCUUGCGCCUUUUGGUAUUCCGAGAGGCAUGCCUGUUUGAGUGUCGCAAAACUCUCAACUCUAUGUUCAUCAUAGAGCUUGGACCGUGGCCGUUCAGGUCGGCGCAAGUCGACCCGGCCGAAAUACAUGCGGAGCGUUGAGCGCUGAUCCGCGACGACUUAUGCGUUGUAGUUACCUCGCACUGUCCCGUGGUAAAGGCGUGCUCCCCAGCAUAUCUUUCUUCGACCUCAGAUCAGGCAGGAUUACCCGCCGAACUUAA
rnacentral:misc_RNA from 1 species